rnacentral:misc_RNA from 1 species
GAUGAAGAACGCAGCGAAAUGCGAUUAGUAGUGUGAAUUGCAGAAUUCAGUGAAUCAUCGAAUCUUUGAACGCACAUUGCGCCCUUUGGUAUUCCUUAGGGCAUGCCUGUUCGAGCGUCAUUUAAACCUUCAAGCUCAGCUUGGUGAUGGGUGACUGUCCUCCCCUCGCGGGGGGACUCGCCUCAAAAACAUUGGCGGCCGGUACAUUGGCUUCGAGCGCAGCAGAAACGCGGUCUCGAGUCCGGUGGAUCGGCUCCCAUAAGUCUAUUCUUUUAUUUUGACCUCGGAUCAGGUAGGGAUACCCGCUGAACUUAAGCAUAUCAAUAAGCGGAGGA